CCAUUUUUUCAUGUCAAAACGGAAAUUUAAAAAAAAUAUAAGUUCACCUUUUUUCAACAACCGACUUCAAAAUAUUAAAAAACACCAAUUCUGGUUCUUGAAAAUUUAAAAUCAAUUUGAGACCCUAAAUUUAGGAAAAAUCUCAAGGAUUAUGAACUUAUCAAAACAACCCUUAAAAAAAUCUAAGGGAUUAUGAACUUAUCAAAAAGUAAAAAACCUUAGUAGGAAACCCUCGCAUAUAUAUAUAUAAUUUUCCAUAUCAUGAGUGCCAUAUCCAUGUUGAAGCUUGCGAGCGGGCGUGUUGAAUAGUAUCAUGUUCUAGUAUCCCGUACAUAAAGGAACCUCUUUCGAAGAGGUCUAGACAUCCAUUCUCGGGGCCGACAUUUUAUUUUGAACUAAAAAAAAGACUUUGGAACUAUUAAAAAAUAAAGAAAUGGCAUGUUCAAGAUACAUGGUUAGUAGUAGGUCUGACCCAAUAUUCAGGCUCUUCCCACGUCAUUCUCUCACGAAUGAUUGUGUAUCGGUUCUGAAACUCGAGACGGUAAGAGAUCGAACCGAGUAUGGCCAUGGAAGAUCGCCAUCCCUUUGGAUGUUCUAGUUCUAAGAGACUCUGCUAAAGGAUUCAUCUAUUUCUUAAUUGACAAGUUCAUAGGCAUGGACAUUCCCCAGAAGAUUAUAGCCUCCGUAGUAUGUCAAGUCAUGGUUCAACUGAGGGUGACCUCGAAGGACUUCGCCUGUUCGCACCUUGAACCAGCCAUUGAUGUAGCAUUGGAGGUAUUUCUGUCUGUGGAGAUUGAAUAAUCUGAGGAUCCAGAGGAGAAAGAUUGAGAGGGAGAUUGAAGAAUCUGAGGAUCCAGAGGAGAAAGAUAAUGUGUGUGUGCCUGUCUGAGGUUGGUGUUCAGUAUGAUGAUGAUGCAUGGGAGGUGCCAUGUAACCAUAUUUAUCACAUUGAUUGCAUUUUGCUUUUUGAAGUGGCCAGAGUCCCAUGAUUUAUGUCCAGUGUGCCGAUCUUUAUGAUAAAUGAUUGCAUUUUGAAGUGGCUAGAGUCCGAUUUAUGUCCACUGUGCCGAUCUUUAUUUAUUAAAUAACAAGUCAAGGUAAGAGCAAAUACUUGUAUAUACUGAUGAAACUUUCUGAAUUUGUUUUUGAGCAAAUACUGUCCCAUAAUUAUAGGAAUUGUCCCUUAGGACUUGUUUUUAAUGGUUAGAAAAUCCGAGUCAAGCGCCCGAUUUUGUACAGGAAACAAACUUGAAUAAUUAAUUUUUUAUUCUUUUCCAUUA